rnacentral:rRNA from 1 species
UUAGUUAGUUGGUGAGGUAAAGGCUCACCAAGACCGUGAUGCAUAGCCGACCUGAGAGGGUAAUCGGCCACACUGGGACUGAGACACGGCCCAGACUCCUACGGGAGGCAGCAGUAGGGAAUCUUCCACAAUGGACGAAAGUCUGAUGGAGCAACGCCGCGUGAGUGAAGAAGGUUUUCGGAUCGUAAAACUCUGUUGUUGGAGAAGAAUGUAUCUGAUAGUAACUGAUCAGGUAGUGACGGUAUCCAACCAGAAAGCCACGGCUAACUACGUGCCAGCAGCCGCGGUAAUACGUAGGUGGCAAGCGUUGUCCGGAUUUAUUGGGCGUAAAGCGAGCGCAGGCGGUUUCUUAAGUCUGAUGUGAAAGCCUUCGGCUCAACCGAAGAAGUGCAUCGGAAACUGGGAAACUUGAGUGCAGAAGAGGACAGUGGAACUCCAUGUGUAGCGGUGAAAUGCGUAGAUAUAUGGAAGAACACCAGUGGCGAAGGCGGCUGUCUGGUCUGUAACUGACGCUGAGGCUCGAAAGCAUGGGUAGCAAACAGGAUUAGAUACCCUGGUAGUCCAUGCCGUAAACGAUGAGUGCUAGGUGUUGGAGGGUUUCCGCCCUUCAGUGCCGCAGCUAACGCAUUAAGCACUCCGCCUGGGGAGUACGACCGCAAGGUUGAAACUCAAAGGAAUUGACGGGGGCCCGCACAAGCGGUGGAGCAUGUGGUUUAAUUCGAAGCAACGCGAAGAACCUUACCAGGUCUUGACAUCCUUUGACCACUCUAGAGAUAGAGCUUUCCCUUCGGGGACAAAGUGACAGGUGGUGCAUGGUUGUCGUCAGCUCGUGUCGUGAGAUGUUGGGUUAAGUCCCGCAACGAGCGCAACCCUUAUUACUAGUUGCCAGCAUUUAGUUGGGCACUCUAGUGAGACUGCCGGUGACAAACCGGAGGAAGGUGGGGACGACGUCAAAUCAUCAUGCCCCUUAUGACCUGGGCUACACACGUGCUACAAUGGAUGGUACAACGAGUUGCGAGACCGCGAGGUUUAGCUAAUCUCUUAAAACCAUUCUCAGUUCGGAUUGUAGGCUGCAACUCGCCUACAUGAAGCCGGAAUCGCUAGUAAUCGCGGAUCAGCAUGCCGCGGUGAAUACGUUCCCGGGCCUUGUACACACCGCCCGUCACACCAUGAGAGUUUGUAACACCCAAAGCCGGUGAGGUAACCCUUCGGGAGCCAGCCGUCUAAG